rnacentral:rRNA from 1 species
GGCCCGUUCGGGUGGAGAUUCGGCAGGCGCAGUGCUUCUCUGGGUAGACCUUGGAGUCGGGUUGUUUGUGAAUGCAGCCCAAAGUGGGUGGUAAACUCCAUCCAAGGCUAAAUACAAGCACGAGUCCGAUAGCGAACAAGUACCGUGAGGGAAAGUUGAAAAGUACUUUGAAGAGAGAGUUAACAGUGCGUGAAACCGCUCAGAGGUAAGCAGGUGGAGUUGAACUGCAAGCUUUGAGAAUUCAGCUGGUGAGGUUGGUUUGGGCUUGGUCAAAUUGGUUGGGCCCCGAAGUACGUUAAACCACGUGUCCUUUCCCUUUGGGUUUGGGAUGUGCGAUACACUUACCAAGUGUUGCACGCUUUGGGUGUUCAUCG